AUUGAACACUGGCGGCAGGACUAACAAAUGCAAGUCGAACGAGUAGCGGACGGGUGAGUAAUGUAUGGGAAACUGCCCGACGGAGGGGGAUGAAUACUGGAAACGGUAGCUAAUACGGCAUACCAACGGCUGUGCCCAGAUGGGAGUAGCUAGUCGGUGGGGUCACGGCUCACCUAGGCGACGAUCCCUAGCUGGUCUGAGAGGAUGACCAGCCACACUGGAACUGAGACACGGUCCAGACUCCUACGGGAGGCAGCAGUGGGGAAUAUUGCACAAUGGGCGCAAGCCUGAUGCAGCCAUGCCGCGUGUAUGAAGAAGGCCUUCGGGUUGUAAAGUACUUUCAGCGAGGAGGCGUUACUCGCAGAAGAAGCACCGGCUAACUCCGUGCCAGCAGCCGCGGUAAUAC
rnacentral:rRNA from 1 species